UACGUAGGGUGCAAGCGUUAAUCGGAAUUACUGGGCGUAAAGCGUGCGCAGGCGGUGAUGUAAGACAGUUGUGAAAUCCCCGGGCUCAACCUGGGAACUGCAUCUGUGACUGCAUCGAUGGAGUGCGGCAGAGGGGGAUGGAAUUCCGCGUGUAGCAGUGAAAUGCGUAGAUAUGCGGAGGAACACCGAUGGCGAAGGCAAUCCCCUGGGCCUGCACUGACGCUCAUGCACGAAAGCGUGGGGAGCAAACAGG
rnacentral:rRNA from 1 species